rnacentral:rRNA from 1 species
UACGGGGGGGGCAAGCGUUGUUCGGAAUUACUGGGCGUAAAGGGCGCGUAGGCGGCCUGCUAAGUCGGACGUGAAAUCCCCCGGCUCAACCGGGGAACUGCGUCCGAUACUGGUGGGCUCGAAUCCGGGAGAGGGAUGUGGAAUUCCAGGUGUAGCGGUGAAAUGCGCAGAUAUCAGGAGGAACACCGGUGGCGAAGGCGGGUCUCUGGGCCGAUACUGACGCUGAGGAGCGAAAGCGUGGGGAGCGAACAGG